UACGGGGGGAGCAAGCGUUGUUCGGAUUUACUGGGCGUAAAGGGCGCGUAGGCGGCCAGCACAAGUCAGUUGUGAAAUCUCCGGGCUUAACUCGGAAAGGUCAACUGAUACUGUGCGGCUAGAGUGCAGAAGGGGCAACUGGAAUUCUCGGUGUAGCGGUGAAAUGCGUAGAUAUUACAAGGAACACCAAUGGCGAAGGCAGCUUGCUGGGCUACUCCUGACACUGAGGUACGAAAGCGUGGGGAGCGAA
rnacentral:rRNA from 1 species